rnacentral:tRNA from 1 species
GCGAACGUAGCUCAGUUGGUAGAGCAGCGGUUUGUGGUUCCGCUGGUCGUGGGUUCAAGCCCCAUCGUUCGCC